AACGUAGGACACGAGCGUUAUCCGGAGUUACUGGGCGUAAAGGGUGGGCAGGCGGCCGUGUCAGAUGGGUGUGAAAUCUCCCGGCUCAACCGGGAGGGGCCACUCGUGACUGCACGGCUGGAGGGCAGCAGAGGCGCGUGGAAUUCCGGGUGGAGUGGUGAAAUGCGUAGAUAUCAGGAGGAACACCGGUGGCGAAGGCGCACAUCUGGCCCGAUACUGACGCUGAGGCGCGAAAGCUAGGGGAGCAAACGGG
rnacentral:rRNA from 1 species